UCUUAGCUAGGGAAUGAUAGAAACAGUGGUGUAGCAGGCACCCCUGAGAUCAUUUAGUCAGUACAUCUUAGCUAGGGAAAUGAUAGAAACAGUGGUGUAGCAGGCACCCCUGAGAUCAUUUAGUCAGUACAUCUUAGCUAGGGAAAUGAUCGUUAGAAACAGUGGUGUAGCAGGCACCCCCGUGAGGCUCAGAGCGUUAGAGGGCCCUCACCCCCAAAAAUAUCACACUGUCGCUAUUUCUAAAUAGCCCAGAACGCAGUAGCUGUAUAUCACCCAAGUCUAACUAACACACACAAGCUAGGUGAUACGUCAUAUUACCAGAAACACACACAAGCUAGGUGACACCACAAACACAAGCUAGGUGACACCACAAACACAAGCUAGGUGAUACCACAAACACAAGCUAGGUGAUACCACAAACACAAGCUAGGUGACACCACAAACACAAGCUAGGUGACACCACAAACACAAGCUAGGUGACACCACAUACACAAGCUAGGUGAUACCACAAACACAAGCUAGGUGACACCACAAACACAAGCUAGGUGACACCACAAACACAAGCUAGGUGACACCACAAACACAAGCUAGGUGAUACCACAAACACAAGCUAGGUGAUACCACAUACACAAGCUAGGUGAUACCACAAACACAAGCUAGGUGACACCACAAACACAAGCUAGGUGAUACCACAAACACAAGCUAGGUGAUACCACAAACACAAGCUAGGUGACACCACAAACACAAGCUAGGUGACACCACAAACACAAGCUAGGUGACACCACAAACACAAGCUAGGUGACACCACAAACACAAGCUAGGUGAUACCACAAACACAAGCUAGGUGACACCACAAACACAAGCUAGGUGACACCACAAACACAAGCUAGGUGACACCACAGACACAAGCUAGGUGACACCACAAACACAAGCUAGGUGACACCACAAACACAAGCUAGGUGACACCACAAACACAAGCUAGGUGACACCACAAACACAAGCUAGGUGACACCACAAACACAAGCUAGGUGACACCACAAACACAAGCUAGGUGACACCACAAACACAAGCUAGGUGAUACCACAAACACAAGCUAGGUGACACCACAAACACAAGCUAGGUGACACCACAAACACAAGCUAGGUGACACCACAAACACAAGCUAGGUGACACCACAAACACAAGCUAGGUGACACCACAAACACAAGCUAGGUGACACCACAAACACAAGCUAGGUGACACCACAAACACAAGCUAGGUGACACCACAAACACAAGCUAGGUGACACCACAAACACAAGCUAGGUGACACCACAAACACAAGCUAGGUGACACCACAAACACAAGCUAGGUGAUACCACAAACACAAGCUAGGUGACACCACAAACACAAGCUAGGUGACAACACAAACACAAGCUAGGUGACACCACAAACACAAGCUAGGUGACACCACAAACACAAGCUAGGUGACACCACAUACACAAGCUAGGUGACACCACAAACACAAGCUAGGUGACACCACAAACACAAGCUAGGUGAUACCACAAACACAAGCUAGGUGAUACCACAAACACAAGCUAGGUGACACCACAAACACAAGCUAGGUGACACCACAAACACAAGCUAGGUGACACCACAAACACAAGCUAGGUGACACCACAAACACAAGC